rnacentral:rRNA from 1 species
AUUGAACGCUGGCGGCAUGCCUUACACAUGCAAGUCGAACGGUAACAGGUCUCCGGAUGCUGACGAGUGGCGAACGGGUGAGUAAUACAUCGGAACGUGCCUAGUAGUGGGGGAUAACUACUCGAAAGAGUGGCUAAUACCGCAUGAGAUCUCUGGAUGAAAGCAGGGGAUCGCAAGACCUUGUGCUACUAGAGCGGCCGAUGGCAGAUUAGGUAGUUGGUGGGAUAAAAGCUUACCAAGCCGAGGAUCUGUAGCUGGUCUGAGAGGACGAUCAGCCACACUGGGACUGAGACACGGCCCAGACUCCUACGGGAGGCAGCAGUGGGGAAUUUUGGACAAUGGGCGCAAGCCUGAUCCAGCAAUGCCGCGUGCAGGAUGAAGGCCUUCGGGUUGUAAACUGCUUUUGUACGGAACGAAAAGCCCUGGGUUAAUACCCCGGGGUCAUGACGGUACCGUAAGAAUAAGCACCGGCUAACUACGUGCCAGCAGCCGCCGUAAGAC